GAGUUUGAUCAUGGCUCAGGAUGAACGCUGGCGGCGUGCCUAAUACAUGCAAGUCGAACGAGGUGCUUUUUGUAGCAAUACGAGGAGUAUCCUAGUGGCGAACGGGUGAGUAACGCGUGGGUGACCUACCCCAAAGUGUGGAAUAACAGUCCGAAAGGAUUGCUAAUGCCGCAUGUGGUCUGCGAGUUUAGAAAUCGUUGACUAAAGGAGCAAUCCGCUUUGGGAGGGACCUGCGUCCCAUCAGCUAGUUGGCGAGGUAACGGCUCACCAAGGCGACGACGGGUAGGGGACCUGAGAGGGUGGCCCCCCACAAUGGAACUGAAACACGGUCCAUACACCUACGGGUGGCAGCAGUAGGGAAUAUUGCACAAUGGGCGAAAGCCUGAUGCAGCAACGCCGCGUGCGCGAUGAAGGUCUUCGGAUCGUAAAGCGCUUUUCUGGGAGAUGAGAAAGGACAGUAUCCCAGGAAUAAG
rnacentral:rRNA from 1 species